AUUUUUUAAAAUUUAAAGUUUGACUCCAGAAAAAGGUAGUCCACUAGACUUUCAAUUCAGCAAGUGUUUAUUGAUUGCUACAUGGGUAAUGCUAGGAAGAUACUAAGAUAUAAACAAUAUUUCCCACCCUGGGGAUGAUAUGAAUCUGGCUGCAGUACCAGUCACCACAUUGAUGGCCUGAAUUUAUUCCAUUGACCUGGCAGACUGGACUGGUGUUUCCUUAUUUUCUCAUGUGCAGUUUUCCUAAAGUUGUAUAUUCAGGAAGAAAAGCUUAAUUUCCUGGACUAUUCUGGACAUGUGAUUCAGCUGCCUCUGUUCUGCCAUUAGAAAGGUGUGUAAACAAAACUUAUGGGAACACCAGGGAAAGUUUCAUGGAGAAGGUUCUUUUUCAGCUUGACUUAGAAGGAUGAUGAUGUUGGGAUACUUGCAGUGGUUUUGUUAAUUAAAAGUUGAAAAAGGGUGUGAGGACAUUUCAAACAAAGGUAACAGUAAAAGCAAAUAGCAUGAAUUAGGUAAACAUCCAAAAGAUGAGAGAAGUGCAUGUGUGCACAGGAUUUUGGACUUUAAUUCUGUAGACCAGUGGUGAUUGUUUUUGCUUUUAAUUAUUUAAAAAAUGUUUGUGUCAAUUAUCAUUUAAUUGCCUCUGAGCUCUAUAUUCACCCUUUUUUGCUUGCUUUGUGAAAAUACUAACGGGCCCAUUAAAUGUUUUUUUCUUUAUCAGCUGGCGCAGUGUGAAGCUAUGUCAGUAGAGGGCUCUGGGCAGACAUUGCAAGAGCAAAGAGUUUUGCUUCCUGGUUACGGUGUGCUUGCUUGGCAGCUCCUGCAGCACACGGGCAGAUUCUCCAGCACCAUGUCCUGCCUGGCAGGGUAGUCAGUAGCACCCAUUGACCAGCAGCUUCCCUUGGCAUCACCUUCUCCCUUGAAUGGCUUUGUAGUAAAGUGUCUGGUGCGACACCUCUCCAUGACCUGCUUUCCCUGACAUCCUAGAGGACAGAUUUCUGGUAAAUUCCAAAGGGCAGAUUUCCAGCCAGUUCUGCCAGCACAGAAUCACAAGAAUUUCUCUGCUGCCUAGUGAGCCAUACCUGUGCCCUCCAAGAUCUGGGUCCUGGGCCUGGGGAGCCUUUUCCCUGGAUACUCUAUCCCAGCUCAAAGAACAUGGCUGCUACUUUAUUUGUUAUUCUUUUAUUCUUUAGAGUUUUCUUUACUUCUUACUAGCCAAUCCCUCAUUGUUCCAAUUCCCUGCUACAGUUAUUAAGUCUUUUUUUUUUUUUUAAAGAGUCUCACUCACUCUGUUGCCCAGGCUGGAGUGUAGUGGGGCGAUCUCAGUUACUUCAACCUCUGCCUCCUGGGUUCAAGCAAUUCUCCUGCCUCAGCCUCCCGAGUAGCUAGGACUACAGGCGUCCACCGCCACGCCUGACUAAUUUUUGUAUUUUUAGUGGAGAGGGGGUUUCACCAUGUUGAACUCCUGACCUCAGGUGAUCUGCCUGCCUCAGCCUCCCAAAGUGCUGGGAUUACAGGUGUGAGCCAUCGCGCCCGGCCAGGUUAGAAUAUUGUUAAAUCCAACUCUCUACUUACUCCUUCCUGCAUUAGAGAGCUGAGAGUGGCUACCAAAAUAUAUGCAACCUUGCUGACUGUUUUCACUUUAACUUUGUAAUUGUGACCCUCCAGUGGGUUCUACUGCUACCCUGAAGUCACUGCAUAUUUUCCAAGUUCACUUCCUCUACUCUUUUUCUAAAUGAUUAUUUUACAUCUUCUCCUCUCUUCUCAAACCUUCGAUCCCCCAUCCAACUAUUGACCUGACUUUUUAUUUCAAUGUCAAAAUAGUAGGUAAAGAGAGAAAUUUUAGUGGGAGACAAGGAAACUUUGGUGGGAGAGAAGGAAUUGCUGAUUUCUUGAGUAGAGGAGAGAGGACAGGAUCUUUUAUGCAAGUGGAAACACGGGUGUUAGCUGGGAACUGAAAAAGUUCAUCUGAAGUAACAGAAGAGGAGGCAGAGCACACAGGUUUCAUUUAAAUAUGACACCAUGGUUUGGAGUCCUAAGCCAUAAACAAUAAGCCAGAAUGAUUCUGCAGCUUUCAAAAGAAGAAAAGUCUGCAAACUUUGCAUGGAAACACACCACACAGCAUUUCUGAUGUCUUUACUGUCCCCUGGUCAUUGUCUUGUGCCCAUUGGAGGAGGCAUGUUUUAGGGUAUCAGUAGUGGAAGCAGGUGCAGCAGAAGUACAUCAGAGCCAGAUUAGGAAGUGAGGACAGAGUCAAGGGGCAAAGCCAACUUGUCGCAUGUCAGAACAGAAGAUGCCAAGAACUGAGAAGGGUGGAUUAUAGAUUUGGAGGCAUGGAAUGGGAGAACUAAUAUUAUAGGAUAAAACUGGAUGGCAAAGGCUGAAGACUUGGGGGUGUCAGGAAUAUUUCUGAAUUUAAAUGAUGGGUUCUGAACUAAUAAUUGUGGUUCAGACCCCAUUCACCAGAUUUGAAUGCAUCUCAGGAAGUAGGAGACUGGGGAGAAGAACUUUUAAAGAGCCACAUGCCUGCCUUUCUGCUCGGGUUCUGAGAUUCUUGAGGCAUUAUUGUCUCUGAAGGAAAUAAACAAUUGUUACCUUGUAAAGGUGUCUUUAUCCUCAGCACUAUUACAAAAUUUCAGGUGCAUGCAUGUAGCUACAAUCAUUGAGCAUCAUUCUGAUGUCCUUUGUGUAUCAGUCAUCUCUUAUGGUGACUUAAGUAUAAUGUCAAGGGUUCGGGUUAAGGCACUAGGUGGAACCAGAGUGGGAGAAACUGCUCCUUAGGAUGGAGGAGGCAGCAGUCCAUUAACCCAGGGGUUUCACGAACUGGACCAUUAUUUUUUUCUUUUUCUUUCUUUUUUUUUUUGAGACAGUGUUCUUAUUUUGUUGCCCAGGCUGGGGUGCAGUGGUACAUGGACCAUGAUAUUCUUAUCAAAGGACAUUUUGUCUGGUGGGUUGGAGCAAUAUUUGGCAGAACUAUGGUUUAAGAAAUCAUCUCAGAGAGCAGGAGGUGAAUGGGGAGAGGCUGAUGAGAAAAAGGCAUAAAUGAGAAUUCCUAGGUGAGCUAGUAAUGUUCUGGGCUGGAUUAAGUGUGAACUUGCAGAGUUAAGUGGAAAACCAGGGCAGGCAGGUUCUUAAUCUUAUGGGCUGGGCCAGCAAGAUGCAUAGUAGGGGGAGGCUCUUGUCCAGUACAGUGGAGGGCUGAUAUGGUUUGGCUGUGUCCCCACCCAAAUCUCUUCAUGAGUUGUAGUUUCCAUAAUCCGCAUGUGUGGUGAGAGGGACCUGGUGGGAGGUAAUUGAAUCAUGGGGGUGGUUCCCCCCUGCUAUUCUUGUGAUAGUAAGCUCUCACAAGAUUUGAUGGUUUUAUAAGGGGCUUCUCUUUUUGCUUGGUUCUCAUUCUUCUCUC
rnacentral:lncRNA from 1 species